AGAGUUUGAUCAUGGCUCAGGAUGAACGCUAGCUACAGGCUUAACACAUGCAAGUCGAGGGGAAACGACAUCGAAAGCUUGCUUUUGAUGGGCGUCGACCGGCGCACGGGUGAGUAACGCGUAUCCAACCUGCCCAUCACUUAGGGAUAACCUUGCGAAAGUAAGACUAAUACCCAAUGAUAUCUCUAGAAGACAUCUGAAGAGAUUAAAGAUUUAUCGGUGAUGGAUGGGGAUGCGUCUGAUUAGCUUGGUUGGCGGGGUAACGGCCCACAAGGCUACGAUCAGUAGGGGUUCUGAGAGGAAGGUCCCCCACAUUGGAACUGAGACACGGUCCAAACUCCUACGAGAGGCA
rnacentral:rRNA from 1 species